GACGAACGCUGGCGGCGUGCCUAAUACAUGCAAGUUGAGCGAUGAAGAUUGGUGCUUGCUCCAAUUUGAAGAGCAGCGAACGGGUGAGUAACGCGUGGGUAAUCUGCCUUUGAGCGGGGGACAACAUUUGGAAACGAAUGCUAAUACCGCAUAACAACUUUAAACAUAAGUUUUAAGUUUGAAAGAUGCUCUUGCAUCACUCAAAGAUGAUCCCGCGUUGUAUUAGCUAGUUGGUGAGGUAAAGGCUCACCAAGGCGAUGAUACAUAGCCGACCUGAGAGGGUGAUCGGCCACAUUGGGACUGAGACACGGCCCAAACUCCUACGGGAGGCAGCAGUAGGGAAUCUUCGGCAAUGGACGAAAGUCUGACCGAGCAACGCCGCGGGAGUGAAGAAGGGUUUCGGAUCGUAAAACUCUGUUGGUAGAGAAGAACGUUGGUGAGAGUGGAAAGCGCAUCAAGUGACGGUAACUACUCAGAAAGGGACGGCUAACUACGUG
rnacentral:rRNA from 1 species